rnacentral:rRNA from 1 species
UACGGAGGGUGCGAGCGUUAAUCGGAAUAACUGGGCGUAAAGCGCACGCAGGCGGUCCUGCGCGUUCGUGGUCACAGCUCCCGGCUUCACUGGGAGAGCGCUACGAAGACGGCAGGACUUGAGGACUCAAGAGGGAACGGGAACUCCUGGUGGAGCGGUGAAAUGCGUAGAGAUCAGGAAGAACACCAAAGGCGAAGGCACGUUCCUGGGGAGUCACUGACGCUGAGGUGCGAGAGCUAGGGGAGCAAACAGG